rnacentral:rRNA from 1 species
AAUAAAAAUUGUUAUUCAAUUUUAAGAGAAUUGGCGGUGAUUAAAUAUAUUUUGAGAAACUUGUAUAUUAAGUGAUAUUACACAGAUUAUCUUACCUAAUCUUUAUGUAUUGCUGUUAAUUCAAGUCAAAAUGUAGUUUUUUUAGGUUAUUAUUGGAUUAAAAUGUGUAGUUAGUUUAUUUGUUUUUUUAUCAUGU